GAUGAACGCUGGCGGCGUGCCUAAUACAUGCAAGUCGAGCGCACGGACCCUCCGCUUGCUUCUCUGUUAUUAGCGGCGAACGGGUGAGUAACGCGUGGAUACACUACCUAUACGUCUGGGAUAACUUCGGAAAACCGGAGCUAAUACCGGCUAAUAUUUUGUAACACAUUAUUCCACAGUGAAUGACGGUCUUGCUGUCUCUUAUAGAUGGCUCCGCGCUGCAUUAGCUAGUUGGUAAGGUAACGGCUUACCAAGGCAACGAUGCAUAGCCGACCUGAGAGGGUGAUCGGCCACACUGGAACUGAGACACGGCCCAGACUCCUACGGGAGGCAGCAGUAGGGAAUCUUCGGCAAUGGGCGAAAGCCUGACGGAGCAACGCCGCGUGAGUGAUGAAGGUCUUCGGAUCGUAAAACUCUGUUAUUAGGGAAGAACAUAUGUGUAAGUAACUGAGCACACCUUGACGGUACCUAAUCAGAAAGCCACGGCUAACUACGUG
rnacentral:rRNA from 1 species